rnacentral:rRNA from 1 species
UACGAAGGGGGCUAGCGUUGCUCGGAAUCACUGGGCGUAAAGGGUGCGUAGGCGGGUCUUUUAAGUCAGGGGUGAAAUCCUGGAGCUCAACUCCAGAACUGCCUUUGAUACUAAGGAUCUUGAGUUCGGGAGAGGUGAGUGGAACUGCGAGUGUAGAGGUGAAAUUCGUAGAUAUUCGCAAGAACACCAGUGGCGAAGGCGGCUCACUGGCCCGAUACUGACGCUGAGGCACGAAAGCGUGGGGAGCAAACAGG